GGCGGACGGGUGAGUAACGCGUGGGUAACCUGCCUCAGUACAGGGGGAUAACAGCUGGAAACAGCCGCUAACACCGCAUAAGCACACAGCACCGCAUGGGUGCAGGGUGAAAAUAUUUAUAGGUAUGAGAUGGACCCGCGUCUGAUUAGCUAGUUGGUAGGGUAAAGGCCUACCAAGGCGACGAUCAGUAGCCGGCUUGAGAGAGUGACCGGCCACAUUGGGACUGAGACACGGCCCAAACUCCUACGGGAGGCAGCAGUGGGGAAUAUUGCACAAUGGGGGAAACCCUGAUGCAGCGACGCCGCGUGAGUGAAGAAGUAUUUCGGUAUGUAAAGCUCUAUCAGCAGGGAAGAAAAUGACGGUACCUGACUAAGAAGCCCCGGCUAACUACGUGCCAGCCGCAGC
rnacentral:rRNA from 1 species